AUUUAUUAUUUUGACUAUUAAAAAAUAUGCUUGAUUUAUACGAUAAAAUUUUAUAUUUAUUUGUUAUAUUAACUAUUAAAAAAUAGAAUUGAUCAAUGCAAUAAAAUUUUACACUUGAUGUAGGUAAAAAUAAAAAAGAAAAGAUGUUAAGAGAAAAAUAUAAAAAAAUAAAUAAAAGAGUGAGAGAGAGAGUGUGAGAGUGUUGAGAGAAAAAAAAAGAAAAUAAGAAAAUAAGAGAGUAAGAGAAAAAACCCCCUCUCCCCCAAAACGCGAAGAGGACUCAAUUAGGCUCUCCUUUCACGUAUUACUAGCGAAAUACCCGCGCGAUAUUGCGGAUAUAAAAAUAUUUUUUCAAUAAAUUUUAGUUUUUUAUAUUAUUAAAUAAUUUUAUAAGUCUAAUUAUUAAUUAAAUAAAAUUUAUAUAAAAAUAAUUUAAUAGUUAAUUUUAUUUAAAUAAAAUUUAUUAAAACGACAACUUAUUUUAUAAAGAUUUAUGUAAAAAAAAGAUUUGAGUUAAUAUAUCAAAAUAAUUUUGAAAAAAUAAAUAGAA
rnacentral:lncRNA from 1 species